rnacentral:rRNA from 1 species
UCCUACGGGAGGCAGCAGUGGGGAAUAUUGGACAAUGGGCGAAAGCCUGAUCCAGCAAUGCCGCGUGGGUGAAGAAGGCUUGAGGGUUGUAAAGCCCUUUCAGCAGGGAGGAAAAGCGUUCGGUUAAUACCCGGGCGUCUUGACGUUACCUGCAGAAGAAGCACCGGCUAACUCCGUGCCAGCAGCCGC